GCGGAUGUAGCUCAACCGGAAGAGUGGCGGUCUCCAAAACCGCAGGUUGGGGGUUCGAGUCCCUCCGUCCGCGCCA
rnacentral:tRNA from 1 species